GAAGGAAUCCAAGCAACAACAAGGUAUGUAUUUCUACUAGUUUUUAUGUUUCAUAUAUUCCCCAUGCCAUGCUAGUUAGGAAAUAACCUUGAAAAAGAAAUUUGCAUGUAUAUAGAGAAAACAUAGAUUCAAGGUUAUUAGGGUUGCAUGUACACUUAGGAAGUGUUAGAAUGCUCAAAACCCAUCAGUGGUAUCAGAGCCUAGGAUUGUUUUCUGUAUACUUGAUGCAAAACUGCUUGAAAAUCGAAAAUUCUGCUCACUGUCGACUGGACUCGCCGAGUUCAUGGGGAGGACUCGCCGAGUCCAUGAACAAAUUCAUCCUACUCGUCGAGUAGGAUAAUGCACUCGACGAGUAGGAGCGUGUUGGGCAUUUUUUCGAGUUUUGUUGCUGGAAAUGGAUUAAAAUCAUUAUCCCAAUCUGUUUUGGACUUGUAAAAUCUGUUUUUCAAAAUGAUAAUGAUUAUGUUAACCCAUUUUGCAUGACUUUUAUCAAUUUUCAAGUAUUAUAUAUGUUUAUAUGAUUUCUUGAAAUUGCUUGACAUGAAUUUGUGUUCUUAUGAGUUUUUAGAAGAUCAUAGGAAUUAUGUGUAACCUCCAUGUGUGUUUAAUUCAUGAUCUUAAUGGCAAUGAUGGUGUCCAUAACUUGUCCUCAAGUUAUGGAUAACCAAAAGUCACUUCUUUAAAUUGUGAUUAAAGAACUAAAGAGGUUUCAUAAAAUGAAGAGUCUUCAUUUUUAUGAACCAUUAAAACUCAUAAGUUACAAAAUUGAAGAGACUUGGAAUAGUUUCAAUUCUUGCCCUCAAGUUUUGGAAUUUGAAAAGUCUUACACUCUAAUACUUUAAUUCCAAAUUAAACCUUAGAUUUUUAAAAAGUUUAAAAAUCAACACUUAUACUAUUAUUAUAAUUUUAUUAUAUAGAUAUGUAUAAGAAUAUGUCGUUCUUACCGUUAGUAGGCCUCAUUCACGAAGCCGGUCUAUAAGGGGGGUAUAAGGUUGUUGCCUAUAAAAUGGUGACUUAAUGGGUGUCCACUCUCACCCACCGCUUCCUUGAUCGGUGGAGGGUCGUUAGCCGAACGGGUAGGAUACGACUUUAAAUACUCAUUAAAAGUAUAAUGAAUUAUAAAGUAACUAUACAUUAUAAAUUCCCAAUCUUAGUUACUUUAGGAAAAUGUGAAAUUGGUGCUAGCCCAUAAAAUUACACUUUGUACCUUACCAAGUCGUUAGUGGAGCGUGUGUGGUUAACCGGCACACUAACAUGGACUAGUAAGAGUGGCAAAGGGUAACUCGACUUUAUUAUAGAUCGAUGGAGCAUGUGUGGUUAACCGGCACAUCGAUUAGGUAAUAUUGUUGAAGGUACCAAGUCAAUUUGUAUGGUUAUUCACACCUUGUUUGUGAUCCUCGGCAUCCCAGUCAAAAACUUGAGAGGGCACAAUCGAGAUUCAAACAUGCCAUUGAAAGUUCAAUGUAUCUCAAAAGAUCUAGGAGUUUCAAAUCCAAUUAAAACUUAAUUAUAUUUCGUUUUUCAUGGUGGAAAUUGGUAAAUAGUCAUUUACCUACCUGUAACUAUUUUAUAAUUUGGAUUACGGCAUCCCUCUUCCAGUUAUAAAUAGGUUAUUGGGUCCAAGCCUUAAUAUUUCAUAUUGGGUGUUAUAUUAAGUACUUUAAAUCAACUAACUUGAAUUUCUCCCAUUAUAGAUGUCUAGUUUAGACAGUUAUGGUCUUCCCAGAUCUUUAGGAAGAAGCUUGCUAAUGAAGAUGAUAUCCCAAAUGGCAACCAAGGUGAAAGAUCAAUCCCUUUGUUGUGCAUUAGUGGGACUGGAAAUCAUGCUUCACUUCCUUCACCUACUCCAAUAAAUCUCCCUAUCCCACAAGUUUCAAGACCUGAUAAGUUCUAAGUCACUCAAUCCCUAUUGGCAAACAAAUUCUAUAUGUGCUUAGGUCUUGGAGAUUAUGUCACAUAUUGACAAGCCGGGAGAGUCAGGUGUCGAAGUCUCAAGGUAGCUGGCUGUUGGCUUGGUCACUCCCUGAUGACAGAUCACGACAUGAAACUUAAUGAUCUUACCUAUUUUCUUGAUGAUGCUGAAUCAGCAAUGAUUAGGAGCAUUGGUAAAGCAAAAUUUUAUUAGAAGAUCAACUUCCCAAACUUCCAUGGACAUUGACAAUGGUAACAUUGGAAGUCCAAAAAACCUUUCUCUUCCCAAUUGAAAGGGAUUGGCCAUAGUCAACUUGGUUGACCAAAUGGUAAAGAGAAAGGCUAAGUAUAGUCCUGUGUACCGUUUCCAAAGAGUCCAUAUGUUUAUGUUGCCAAAGGAAGGGCAUUAGUUGCGAAGGUGCCUAAUUUACCUAAAAGUCCAUAAGGAUAGUAAAGUCAAAUGUUUGACUCUACUUCAGGUAAAAUCCAUCAUCUAACUCUAUUAAGUGUCUAUUCUGAGAUUCUUAUUGCAUGAUGUGACUGGGUCACAUGUUGAUGUUUUAAGAAUCAAAAGAGAAGUGAAGAAACUUAAAGGAAGUGUAUGCUGAUUCUGAUCGCGAAGAGGGAUUUUGAUCGCAUGGUUCGGUGAUCAAAAUUUUGAGCUGUUACUUUAGAGUUGAAACAUAUUGUUUAGGAAUAGAUAACAACAAGUUUUUCAUAUGGGUUGUAAGGAUAUGUUUUCCGCAAAGUUUUAAAAUAAAAGAAAAAUGGUUUUGAUUUUAUUUACUUUAAGUAUCCUUACAAUGGCAUUUGUGAAAAAGGUUGUUGCUUAUAUGUUUCCAUUGAUAAGCAAUAUGGGUAAAUGGAUUUGAUUCUUUCAUUAGUGGUAGUGUCAUAAUAUACCAAAUAAGGAAAGAUUCUCAUCACCCAAGUUUCAGUUGGAUAGAAACUUGGAAUCAUGAAAGUUGUAUUGUGUGAUGAAUGAGAAUUUUCAUCUUUGGUAAAUUAAGACUAAUUCCUUGUUCACAUUCGCAUGUGAGUCAAGUGAAGGACUAAGAGAUUGGGUACACUUGGUUGUGUGCUGGUCAGGUCCACCACAAAGGUUGAUAAGAUUAUUCAUUAUGAUUUACUAAAGUUUAGUAAAUAUGGUUAUGCUUACGAGUUUAAGUGUAAUUCUGAAACAUUGGAAAAGUUUCAAUGUAUGGCAGAAUGAAUAAGAAGAAUCAAAUAAGGCAAAAAGAUAAAAGUUUCUCCAAUCUGAAGAGAUGGGAGAGUACUUGUGUAUUUUGUUUUAUGAUUAUCUUAGUGAUUAUGAAACCAUAUCACAAUAGAUCCUCUAAGGACACGUUAGUUUAUUUGUUUGGCUAAGGAGAGGAAUCAUGUGUUGUUGAAAUGGUUAAAUCAAAAGAUAAAUCAUACAUCAAAAUCAAAUCUUAGAGUCAUACUCCAAGAUUGAGCCAUUGAGUGACAUAAUCUUUAGAAAGUUUAUAACACUUAUCAAAUGUAGAGUAAGAUGUGUCCUACUCUUGUACAUUUGAGGUUGGUUAGUUGUGAUGUUUUGGAUAAAACAAAGACCAACUAAGUCCAAUUAUGGGAAGUGUUUAACUUGAUAAGAAUAUGCACUAACUAUUGAAUAUUUAUAUUUGUCAAGGAAUGGUUCUUGACAAAGAGAAUCAUAUAUGUCAAGAGGUCAGUGGGAGUCUUAAAAAGAUCUUAAGAUGGGUUCAAGAACUAAUCAAGAGUUUUGUAAUCANAAGAGAUGGGAGAGUACUUGUGUAUUUUGUUUUAUGAUUAUCUUAGUGAUUAUGAAACCAUAUCACAAUAGAUCCUCUAAGGACACGUUAGUUUAUUUGUUUGGCUAAGGAGAGGAAUCAUGUGUUGUUGAAAUGGUUAAAUCAAAAGAUAAAUCAUACAUCAAAAUCAAAUCUUAGAGUCAUACUCCAAGAUUGAGCCAUUGAGUGACAUAAUCUUUAGAAAGUUUAUAACACUUAUCAAAUGUAGAGUAAGAUGUGUUCUACUCUUGUACAUUUGAGGUUGGUUAGUUGUGAUGUUUUGGAUAAAACAAAGACCAACUAAGUCCAAUUAUGGGAAGUGUUUAACUUGAUAAGAAUAUGCACUAACUAUUGAAUAUUUAUAUUUGUCAAGGAAUGGUUCUUGACAAAGAGAAUCAUAUAUGUCAAGAGGUCAGUGGGAGUCUUAAAAAGAUCUUAAGAUGGGUUCAAGAACUAAUCAAGAGUUUUGUUAAUCACUAGCCCAUGACUUGAGGUUUGUAACCUAUCGUGUUGACAUAUUCUGUGCUCAUCCCAGUUAAGGUUGGCUUUGCAUUGGAGUUCUGAGAGUUCUCGAUUGUUUGCAUAACAACCAGGAAGAAAUGGUAGGCCCUUGUGCUGCCGGGUGGCAAGAAAUUAAGAUUGCACACGUUCAGUCCAUAUGAAUUUGAAAGUGUCACUAACCUAGUCCUGUGAUUAUGGUUUUGACAAAAUUCACAUGGAAAAGAACACAUACACCAUAAAAUCUAAAUGUCAUAAGGUUUCUCUUCGAUUCAUGAAAAUGAUGGUGAGGAAACGCUUCCACUAAGAAGAUUUUAAGUAGAUAGCGGUUGUGAUAUUUGCAUUCUUAUAUAGUUAGUGGAGCGUGUGUGGUUAACCGGCACACUAACUAGUGAGAAUUGCAAAAGGUCUAGACAAACAUGUGAGCUAUCUAAGGAAAGGUGUAUGUUUUUGAUAAAGUAUUAUUAAAGCAAUCUAGUAUCAGAAAUAUGAACUUUGGAAAGAAAGUCAAUAAAGUAUUGAUUUCUAGAAGUCCAACAGAUUUCUUAGUACAUGUCAAAGCCAGUGGGAGCAUAAAGUGUUAUGCUGGUAAUCAUUAUGCUAGUGGGAGCAUGAUGAUUAUGUUAAAUAUUGCAAGUUAGCAAUGUUAAUUAUAGAAAACAAAAGUUUCAUUUUGCUUUGAAAAGUUGUUUGCUAUAAUUAAGGGAGAGGAUUUUAUACUUCGUUCUAAUUCUACCAGCUUAGAUUGAGUUGUAUCAACUUUAGUCGAGGAUAUAUAUGAAUGUUAUGUUGGAAUUGUUCAGCAUAAGGAAUUUCUAUAUAUGUUGCAGUCUCAAAAUUCAAUUAUGAUUAUGGCAUACCUCUUCAUAGUUCGAAUUGUGAGAACAUGGCAAAUAAGAAUUUUAUAGCAUGAAUCGUGUCCCAUAUGCUUCAGAUAUAGGAUCGAUUGCAUGUAAUAUAAUAUUCAUCCAUUCUAAAUUUCCGUAAUGCUUAGGGCAUUAAGAAGGGAAAUGGGAUUAAAACUGGAUAUGACUAAAAUGAUUAAGCAAUUGUCGAGGACAAUUUGAGCUUUACCAAAGAUUGGUUACUCAUGGAAAAUUAGAAGUAUAGAGUAAGGAUCAUAUUGACAUAUUUUGAAAAGAGGCAACUCUUGUUCAAAAGUGAUGGUCAAAAUGGUAAUAUGGAAUUCUCUCCAUAAGUGGAAGUUAUUCUUUGAAUCUGUGUAAGAUUAAAGAACUUAAUGUUAAGAAUGAUGUUCAAAGGAAUGUACUUUGAAUUUGAGACUUCAUUUCCAUGGAAUUGUUUUCCAUUGGAAUGCUUUGUAAUGUUUGUUGCCAAGUCUUUGUGACUUCUGUGCAUAUUCAUUACAAGGGGAUCAUUGCAUAUAAGUUUAGAAUCUAACAGAUUACAGUAAAUGGCAAGAGUUUGGUAUUCUUGCAUUUACAACAGGGAUUGGAAUUGUGAAAUGAGCAUCAUUGGAAUAUUGUCAAUUGAACUAUUUCACAAAGAGAGGACCAUAUGUAAACAUAGUAUGCAUACUUGGAGUAUGGCAUAAUUGUUGUUUGGAAAACCAUAGUGUACAUGCUUGGAGCAUGGGACAACUAAUGUUUUAAUUCAAGCAUAAAGUUGAUUAAUCGAAACAUAAAUAAUGAGUAAUCAAUAUGGUGCUUAAAUAAAAGGUGUUUUAUUUACACUCAAAGUGUUGGGGCCAUAUAAGAUUAGUAUUAUUCUUGUGUUUCACUUUGCAUGUUUUGACUUCCAGAAUAAUUAUGUUAUGGUAUAUAUCAUAUUAUUCAAACCAUCCACAGUCAGUCAUAUGUUGGAAGUAGAUAUGAAUCAAGACUGUCAUGAAUUUGGCUUGUAUGAUUUGUCUAAAGUGCUUUAGACAAUGCAAUGGUUGCUACAACAUUCAUGAGUACUCAUAAGGGCUGAGUAUUGGAUUCAACCCACGCUCACUUGCAUCACUUCAUGGAAUUUAUCUCGAGUGAUCGUGAGACGGUAAUAUCAUAUAAAUCUUCAAACCUAGAGAUAUGAGUUGUUGACUAUGAGUUGGUUAUUCAUUGAUUGUACGAAAACGCAUUGGUAACUCGAUGUUAUAAAACGUGCCUUUGUGAAUAAUUCAACAAGUAGUUAGUACAAGCAUAUCAGUCGAAGUUUAUCUGUUCCUUCUAGAAAUAGAAGCGAUAUCUGGGCCCCUCGAUGAUUUGGUUUUGACCUAUGUACCGGGCCCGGUCAGAACCUAAUUGAUGUGUUCAAUUUAGUUCUAUGUCGAAACAAAUCGGAGAUCGAGAAACAAAUGUUGGACAAUAAGUAAGACCAUNUCACGGAAAUGAAAGGCCAUGUUAUCUAGGGUUUACAUGGUGUAACCCUAACUAUAUAAGCAUCUUAUUCUUGACCAAAAUCGGCCACUAGUGAGAGUAAGAAAGGGCUAGCCGAUUUCAUGAAGUGUAGAUUUCUCUCAAGUUAUUCCAAGUGUAUUUGGUGUUGUGUGAACCAUUUGAGGUGUCACACUUGGGGCACUUGGCACUCAAGCUUCAUGAAGACUUUCUACAUGAAAGAGGUAUGUAUUCUAUCUUGUUAUAUUCAUUCUUUAAUAUGCUAGAUUAGGAUAAUACCUUGGAUGUUCAUAUUUGUAUGUAUAAUAGAGAAAACAUAGAUCCAAGGUAUUUAGGGUUGCAUGUACACUUAGGAGUGUUAGAAUGCUCAAAACCCAACGGUAAUAUCAUAUAAAUCUUCAAACCUAGAGAUAUGAGUUGUUGACUAUGAGUUGGUUAUCCAUUGAUUGUACGAAAACGCAUCGGUAACUCGAUGUUAUAAAAUGUGCCUUUAUGAAUAAUUCAACAAGUAGUUAGUACAAGCAUAUCAGUCGAAGUUUAUCUGUUCCUAUGUUGAAACAAAUCGAAGAUCGAGAAACAAAUGUUGGACAAUAAGUAAGACCAUGUUCCAUGUGUUUGUCCGGCUGAUAUCAUGAGAGCAGAGGAUUAUAUGAUCACUUAUCUUAAAUGGCGUAUCAUCAUCAUCUCAGUUUUGAGAGACUUUGAAAGAGCUACGAUUGCUAGUCGGAUUUUUGAGGUCAUAUUUGGAAAUAUAGUUAUUACACUUAUCCAAGUGGGAGACUGUUGGAUAUAGUGUCUAAGUCCAUAACUUUAUUUGGUAUGUACUUGACGCGACCUGGCAUGGUCCAUUUGGGUUGCAUGGCAUUGCAAUACUUGGAUAGACUAAAUGAGAGAAUAUGACACUUAUGAUUAUUAAUAUAUUAUAAGUUCUAAUAUAUUAAUAAUAGUGUUAUUUAAUUAGUAUUCAUCAAGUAUUAAUCUAGUAUUAAUUUGGUGACCAAGUUGAAACUAAUUAAAUAUAUGGGGUUGAUUAUGACAAUUAUCUAAACUUUUAUAGUGGAUAAAAGGAUCCAUGGUUUACGGGUUAUGGAUAUAACUAUUUGGAGCUCCAUGGAUAGUCCAUGGAAGUUACAAACUCAUGGGUCAUGAGAAUGGAAGAGUUAUGACAAUUAUGAGUCUUCAUGAUGAAACCCUAAUUGUGACACCACUAUAAAAGGGACCCCAUGGCUAGGAAAAUCAGGCACUAGAGUAUUCUUGUGAGGGCAUAGCCGAUUUUGAAGUGUAGAAGUAUUCUCUCUAGUUAUUCCAGGUUUUGUGGUGUUGUGUGAAGCAUUUGAGGCACAACAUUUGGGGUGAUAGGCUCACAAAGUCUUGAAGGAAUCCAAGCAACCACAAGGUAUGUAUUUCUACUAGUUUUUAUGUUUCAUAUAUUCCCCUUGCCAUGCUAGUUAGGAAAUAACCUUGAAAAAGAAAUUUGCAUGUCUAUAGAGAAAACAUAGAUUCAAGGUCAUUAGGGUUGCAUGUACACUUAAGAUGUAUUAGAAUGCUUAAAACCCAUCAUCAACAUCUUUCCGUUUCAUGCAGAAAGAUGCCUCGCCGACCUACUCGCGGAAACCCUGGACCAAUCCCACCCGAAGUUGACUCCACUGCAUUCCAGGCAAUCGUGUUUGUUGCGGUCGCCGCAGCAAUGGAACAAAUUCAUCAAGGGAACAACGAAGGAGGCAACGGACUAGGGGUCGGGAGUUCGAACAACGGAAUGAAUCAAGGACCCACCAAAACAUGUACCUACAAAGACUUCACAAAUGCCAUACCA
rnacentral:lncRNA from 1 species